GACGAACGCUGGCGGCGUGCCUAAUACAUGCAAGUAGAACGCUGAAGGAGGAGCUUGCUCUUCUGGAUGAGUUGCGAACGGGUGAGUAACGCGUAGGUAACCUGCCUGGUAGCGGGGGAUAACUAUUGGAAACGAUAGCUAAUACCGCAUAAGAGUAGAUGUUGCAUGACAUUUACUUAAAAGGUGCAAUUGCAUCACUACCAGAUGGACCUGCGUUGUAUUAGCUAGUUGGUGGGGUAACGGCUUACCAAGGCGACGAUACAUAGCCGACCUGAGAGGGUGAUCGGCCACACUGGGACUGAGACACGGCCCAGACUCCUACGGGAGGCAGCAGUAGGGAAUCUUCGGCAAUGGACGGAAGUCUGACCGAGCAACGCCGCGGGAGUGAAGAAGGUUUUCGGAUCGUAAAGCUCUGUUGUAAGAGAAGAACGAGUGUGAGAGUGGAAAGUUCACACUGUGACGGUAUCUUACCAGAAAGGGACGGCUAACUACGUG
rnacentral:rRNA from 1 species